GACUUUUAAUUCUCAAUUUUAAUUAGUGCACGAGUGUUUAUAAGUUUUAAUUAGUAUGAAAAUAUUAAUGGAGAUUAGGAAUUAAUUAACUAUGAUUAGAUUAUUAAGUGGUAAAUAUUUAAGUGAGUUGGGAGGCAAAUGAAUUAACGUGAGAAAUUUUAGGGGCAUAAUUUCCAGAUGUGGACCCAAUAUGGAUUGGUUACAUUUUCAGAUUUAGUGUACAAGCUAAAUGUUUGGCAUGUGUAUUAUUUUAUUCACAUGGAAAGGCCAAGUGUACAGGUGGUAUAUAACGUGUUUCUCUAGAGUGCAAUCAGCCCAAUUAGGCAAACCAUUUGUUACUCAGGAGAAAACUAAUAUUGAAAGAACUAAGAACAUUUUCCGGCAACUUUAUUUUAUUUUUCUGUUUGGGGGCAGCAACGUUCUAUCAACCUUUAUACCCUUAGUGGUCGUUUGGUUUGAGGUCAAAAUAGUCCCGGGAUUACAAUCCCGGGACUAAUUUAUACCAUCUGUUGGUAUUAUUUUAUACCAUCUGAAAGAUGGUAUAAAAUAAUACCAGUAUAAGUGGGUUAAGAAGGUAUAAGUUGAGUUAUUCCAGCACUAAUUUUUAUACCACGUUUGGUACAAGGUAUAAAAUAAUCCCGGGAUAAAUCUAUACCUUAUACCAAACGUGGUAUAAAAAUUAGUACCGGCAUAACCCAUGUUAUACCUUAAACCAAACGACCACUUAGAGAAGUGCAAAACAUUUCUAUCAACUCUUAUAAUCCUUGAAUAAACCCCUUAGUAGCAGCUGCUCAUGGAUGUAGUGCAUUUGGAGCUCUUAGUAACUUCAUCCUUUAUAAAGAAAAGUUAUAAUUUCCAGCAAGAAUUUUAAGAGGUCAAGCUUGCUAGUAAGGCUUUCCUUCCAAUUAUUGAGGCUAAAGGGGCGACGAGGCGAAAAGGAUUCAUGAAUAGUCGCUGACAGGUGCAGAUGCACAGUUUGGUGAUCCACCAGUUUAGGACACCCUCUUCUGCUGUUUGGAGUGCUCUUCUCAUUUCAGAGCAUAUAUUUUGGUAUAUAUUCGUUCGCCGUGUAUGUAUAUAUUUGUUCAGGGGUACGGCGAGGCCCUGUUCCGCCAUAUGAUCCGUUUGGUCUGUUUAGAGGUCUGUAGACGUAUUUGUGGGUGCGUGCGCCUACUUCUGUACAGAUGUGUUUGUAUGACCCUGUUCGUUAUGGCAGCCUUGUCGGCGUGCACUUUGUAUAUGUUUUGGGCCGUUGUGCCAUUUGAUAGCCUUGUCGGCUUUUGAUACAUUUGAUAGCCUUGUCGGCUUUUGAUACAUUUGAUAGCCUUGCCGGCUUUUUGAUAUAUAUAUAUAUAUGUCCGCAUAUGAUUGCGUUGAAAUGUGUUCGAUACAGUUUGAUAUAGUUUGAGACGGCAUAUAGUAUUUGUGGCCGUAUAUGCUAUUUGGAUGUGAUUCGAUUUGAAUAAGUGUGUUACGAAUUGAUAUGUUUGUCUGUCUGGGUGUCCAAGUAGGGCAU